AAGCCACUGCUUCUUUUGGUCGAAAAGCCGAAGCCAGCAACCCCAUGCUUUUAGAAGCAGGCACUGGCUUUUCCACUGUAGCGGUAGUUACUGUAGUUUAAUGAACAUUUCGAAAUACCGGAUUGUGUCCUCUCUUCCUUUCAGUAAUUACACCACACUGCCAUCAAACCCUUCUCUUCCGUGUUCAAAAGUGGAAGCCUCCAGCGCCGUGCAGUGAACAGGCACAGGACUUCACGCUGACUGCUCCUCUCAUUCUUGUUCGAAUCCUCAAUCCAAUCCCCGGAUUUUCGUACCAGGCUCUGAAAAUCGAAAGCUUUCCUGAAAAGUUUUGACUUCUCAGUUUGUUUUCAGAAAGAUUUUCCUGAAAUAUUAGGUACUAAAGCUUGGGCUACUUUUGAUUGCGAAGACAGUUCCAUUUUGCUGAUCAACCAAGAAGCUUCUCCCAUUUCUAGAGGGGCAGAGAAGAAGUUAGACAAGGAACUUUCAGUGCUUGAAUGGGGUUCAAAGACUUGUCAAGUUGAAGUUAUCACAAAGGUAGUUUGAUGGUGUCGGUUUUAGAUGGAAACCAUUAUGAAGUCGUAUUAGCACCGUCUUCGUUGAUGAUGCAAUGUAAAAUAUGAUGCUUGUGAAAAAUGUAAAAUAUGGUGUUUGUGAAAAAUGCGGUGUGUCAUAAACUGAUGAUGCAUCAUCUUAGUUGAUGAUGCAAUGUAAAAUAUGAUGCUGCUUUUGUGUUUGAAGGAUUAUGUUAUAUAAGUUGUAAAAGUGUCAUCUUUGUUGAUGAUGCAAUGUUAACUUUUAUGCUUGUGUAAAGUUGUUUAUGAAAGGUAAA